AAUCAUUUGAAGAAAUAAUGUGUGAAAAAAAUAUAUUACCUCCGGCAGUGAUGUUAUAAUGGCUCUUGUGCUGACAGCCCUUUGGGAACAGUGGCAGCAGUGGGGUCGGACCUUUUUGAGAGACUGUGUGAACAGCCCUCCCUGCGGGAACCGGUGCAGGAAGGUGGGAGGCCCAAGCUUAAGCCCUUGGUCUGCCUUGAGCCACAGAGAUCCUGGUCAAAGGCAACAAGGAAAUCCCCUGAUCUGAAUCAGGCAAAGCAGGGGCUUGAACUCUGAGUUCUCCAAAGCUCAGGAAAGUACAUAAAUAGGAAAGCCUCCGUGAAACGUGCCCGAGUUUUUCUGCAGCAAGAGAACAGUUAAGUGCAGAAUUCCAGCCAGGCAAAUGAAAACUCCCCCGUGGCAUGCUGCAGAGUGUCCUCCAGCUAAUUUUGCCAUGCUAAGGAAAGGACAAAUACAGCUUUCCACAUGAAUACGCUCUGGUCUCAUAACUGGCAUGAUACAGAUACAUGUUCAGGAGCAACUUUGCUGCAGUCAAUGGAGCGAGUGGCUGACUGUCCCUGUCCGGUGGAGGUGCCCUCAGACUGCUGGUGUGAGGCUGUUCAGCAUCCAAGCAUCCAAAGAAAAAGCAUGGAAACAGUCCCCUGAUUUCUUGGACAAAUUUGAAGGGCAAAAUCUGCCAACUGCUUGGUAUAUUGAUUCAAAUGCAUUAUUCCUCCCCCCGGCAGAUCCCUGCCCUGGGAAAGGAGCAAUCAGUGCAGGUGCAAAUAGCUUUUAAUUGCAAAAUGUAUCUCACCAUGGAGGCAUUUAGGCUGGAUAUGAUACAACUGAUACAGCAGCAGCCUGAAGAAGACCAAUAAGCCAGAGCACUGCAGGGGCAAAACUACUCCUAUACAAUACAUAUGGCGUAGAUAUUCAUGUAUGGCUGUAUGUCUGUGUUCUUCCACGUAUCCCUAAGGUAGGACACAGUAUGAUUAUGUGGAGAUUCAAAUAUCAUCUGCAGGGAACGUGCAACAUUUCUCUUUCUGUAACACAGUUCAUAUGUGAGAACGCAGCAUUUAGUUUGGAUGUGAAUGUUAU
rnacentral:lncRNA from 1 species